AUUGAACGCUGGCGGCAUGCCUUACACAUGCAAGUCGAACGGUAACAGGUUAAGCUGACGAGUGGCGAACGGGUGAGUAAUAUAUCGGAACGUGCCCAGUCGUGGGGGAUAACGUAGCGAAAGCUACGCUAAUACCGCAUACGAUCUACGGAUGAAAGCGGGGGAUCGCAAGACCUCGCGCGAUUGGAGCGGCCGAUAUCAGAUUAGGUUGUUGGUGAGGUAAAAGCUCACCAAGCCUGCGAUCUGUAGCUGGUCUGAGAGGACGACCAGCCACACUGGAACGAAGACACGGUCCAGACUCCUACGGGAGGCAGCAGUGGGGAAGUUUGGACAAUGGACGCGAGUCUGAUCCAGCAAUGCCGCGUGCAGGACGAAGGCCUUCGGGUUGUAAACUGCUUUUGUACGGAACGAAACGGUGAGCUCUAAUACAGUUUGCUAAUGACGGUACCGUAAGAAUAAGCACCGGCUAACUACGUGCCAGCCGCCGCAGUAA
rnacentral:rRNA from 1 species